rnacentral:lncRNA from 1 species
AAGAUUCUAUAAAGAAGAGAAUGAUGUAAGUGACCCGGGGGCAAUGGGGGGAGCUUAAAUUUGAAACUAGAAAAAAUUUUGAACAAAAUAAUCAUAAUUGUUAGCUGAUGAAAAACUAGAAAAUAUUUUCUGAGUAAAUUCUUGAUUUCAGAAAUUAACUAUAAUUUAUAUUGCUCUUAAUAUCUUACCCUUGAAUAUAAAUGAUUAAUGCCCUUUAAAAUGUCCUUUUUUCUAGCUAACCUGAUGUACAUAUGACAUUAAUCCAAUAGACUUAGGAAUAAGAUACAGGGGGUUUUCCUGAAUGAUUCGAGUAUAUCCCCAUUCAUAUUAAGAAAACAAAGUAUUGGCCAAGCGUGGUGGCUCACGCCUGUAAUCCCGGCACUUUGGAAGGCCGAGGCCAGUGGAUCACCUGAGAUGGACUCAACGACUCUCUUACCGUCCAGCUCUCAAGUCCCUUCUCUUGUGAAAAUGGAAAAGUUGAACUACAGUUGAGAUAUUAUUCCCAGGUGUUCUUUGGAACACAGGGGAUUUCUCCAAAAGGCACAGAACAAAUUGCCUCCAAACAGCCAAGAUUCCAGCAGAAGCUGGAGUAGCAGACUACUUGGAUCUUCAAAGUACCUGGCCCUGAGUCAGUUAAGGAAGAUCUUUUCUUCUCUUUUGUACAAUCCUAUGAUGAGAGCUGCAAAGUGAACUGACUAAGAGCUUCUGCCUUGAUCAUUGACCUCCCAAUCCUAAUAAUAUGUUCACUGGCCAAACUUCCUAAUCGAUUUGUCUUUUGGAUAUAACGUUCCUCCUACUGUUUGCCUGAUUGAGAAAUCUGCUACAGAACAUGACCGGUUAGCAUUCCCACCAACCCCAGUGCUACACUGACUGUCUUUCGAUGGACUUUGCUCCUUGCUGCCUCUCUGAGGUCCCAGACCUUCAGAGUGACCUUCACAGCUCUGCCUAACUUUCUGUCAUACUUCUAUCAAGAGAGACAGCUAAAUCAAUAUUUUUAAUGUGCUUUGCUGUCGGAAUUCGAUGAUCUGUCACAGUUCUUGCCCAAUACACCCCAUCAUUAUUGUUAAAAUGUUUUUAGCUUUGUUUGUAGAAUUGCUUUAACUGGUUUCAUCUCUGGGAGCUACACUUUGAAAUAUAACUUUAGCAACAUUUUACUAUACUUUUUCACAACCCAGAGCAGUACUAUUUUAUGCUUAGUGGUUAAACUAAUUCCAUAAAUCUUUUGCAACUAUCCUCUAUUCUUUUUCUUGUAAUUUUUACCUGGGAAGGUUUUUACUGAUAAUCAUCCUAUCCUGAGUCAUCCCACAAACCAAUCUGUCUCACUAAUCAUUGCUUCUAACCUACAGACUAAGCAUAACUUCUGCUAAAUGAUCUUUGAUAAGAUGCUAUGACUCUAUAAAGUCUUUGAUAUUCAUGUCUAAAUUUAAUCACUUGUAGAUUUUCAUAGAAUCAAUCUUUCACUUCUACAAUUGGGAGUAUUUAUAAGUUGUUUAUCUUAAACAGUUCCUCUAUCACGCUUUUCACGUUAAAUAAAGCAAUCCCUUCAAAUC